UGCCAGCCGCCGCGGUAAUACGGAGGGUCCAAGCGUUGUUCGGAAUUAUUGGGCGUAAAGCGCGUGUAGGCGGUUCGUUAAGUCUGAUGUGAAAGCCCGGGGCUCAACCCCGGAAGUGCAUUGGAAACUGGCGAACUUGAGUACGGGAGAGGAAAGUGGAAUUCCCGGUGUAGAGGUGAAAUUCGUAGAUAUCGGGAGGAAGACCGGUGGCGAAGGCGACUAUCUGGCCAAAUACUGACGCUGAGGUGCGAAAGCGUGGGGAGCAAACAGGAUCAGAUA
rnacentral:rRNA from 1 species